UACAGGUGGUGCAUGGCUGUCGUCAGCUCGUGUCGUGAGAUGUUGGGUUAAGUCCCGCAACGAGCGCAACCCUUGUUCUGUGUUGCCAGCAUGCCCUUCGGGGUGAUGGGGACUCACAGGAGACUGCCGGGGUCAACUCGGAGGAAGGUGGGGACGACGUCAAGUCAUCAUGCCCCUUAUGUCUUGGGCUGCACACGUGCUACAAUGGCAGGUACAAUGAGCUGCGAAGCCGUGAGGCGGAGCGAAUCUCAAAAAGCCUGUCUCAGUUCGGAUUGGGGUCUGCAACUCGACCCCAUGAAGUCGGAGUUGCUAGUAAUCGCAGAUCAGCAGUGCUGCGGUGAAUACGUUCCCGGGUCUUGUACACACC
rnacentral:rRNA from 1 species